rnacentral:rRNA from 1 species
UACGUAGGGUGCAAGCGUUGUCCGGAAUCAUUGGGCGUAAAGAGCGUGUAGGCGGUUCGGUAAGUCGGCUGUGAAAGUCCAGGGCUCAACCCUGGGAUGCCGGUCGAUACUGCCGGACUAGAGUUCGGUAGGGGAGACUGGAAUUCCUGGUGUAGCGGUGAAAUGCGCAGAUAUCAGGAGGAACACCGGUGGCGAAGGCGGGUCUCUGGGCCGAUACUGACGCUGAGGAGCGAAAGCGUGGGGAGCGAACAGG